GAGCUGUGUCUGAGGGCUCCACGUGCUUUUUGACAAGUCAGUAUGGUUUAUGUACUGUAUGCAUAAGAAGGGGCAAUCUUUUUCUUACCACAAUUGUUUGGACUCAUUUUUAAUAAAGAAGAAACCAAGAGUCUGCAGCUGCUGACACACACUCUCCUACGCAACCACAACGUUCACCUGCAAGGGGGAAGUGAAUCCACCCAAACCAAGAUUCUUUCUGAAGUGAUUUGACACCAAUGUGAAAGAUCUGUAGGCCUGAUGAAGCCUGCGUCAAACAGCCCUCACACACGCUCUUUAAAAAGAUAUCCUUAUCACUGUCCCACCCAUGAGAUCUGCAGGGAGGAAGCCCACAGACCAUCUGCAGUAUGAGAACGCAGUGCAAUCAGCCUCUAACAGUAUCCCACUGUAGAUAUGUGAGAGACAAUGUACCUACUGCUGCACCAUUGUAAGACUUUACUACAAAGUAAGUAGUAAUUUCUUAUUGUGGCAAUACUACUGAGCACACAAAGGUACAGAAGAAUAUUAGGGCAGACAUC